UUGCGCAAGUAAUGUUUUUAUGAGCAAUCUUCGCAAUCUUUUGCUGGUCCGGCAGGUCUAUUCUUUUCAACAGAAUCACUGCCCGGACACAGCGUCCAGCGCGACUCGCCCAAUCAGGCAGUCGCGGCCUCCCACCCGACAGGGUCGGCCAGGCCCCCGGGCUACAUACAGUCCAGAAGACGUAUGAGGUGAGCCGACGUCAAAAGUGUCGCGCCAGGACGAAGUAUCUCAAGGGGGCCAAUCAGGCCCCCU
rnacentral:sRNA from 2 species